CACAAAGCAUUAGGAUUUCUGCCCCAUGGAAAGGAAAUAAAUUCUCUGUGUUUUUUUCUCUCAUAAACACAGAAUUGGUGCUACUCUUGUGGUCCCUGAGGGAAAGAGAUGCCUUUGGGAUGAAUGAGACAUGCAGACCCACAUGAAUGCAUCUACCCUUGUUACAGGCUGUUCCCACUUUUCUCUGUUUUGGGCGGAAAAUAUACUUUUUUAGUCUAGUUUCUGGGGCAAAGGUCCUGCCAAAUCCCCAGAUCAAUCCCUCACCACAUAUCUCUCAGAAAUAUCACUUUUUUGUGAUUUUUUUUUUUCCCUCCCAAAAUGUGAUUUUUCUCUGAAUUUUUCUGUGAGGGACCCCAGCCAACCCAUGACCAGCUGGAGUACCCACCACCACAUCCCCUGCUUCAUGGAUUUGGGGGCAACCACAUUUGCUGCAGAGGGGCACGGGCCAGCCUUAAAGAGAGGUGAGCAAAGCCAUAGGUGGGAAAGGCCGAGGGCCAAGGGGGAAAAGACUGACCUGGAAAGGUCUUACUGGAGGUGGUGAUGGGCAGGCACAAUCUUUUUGUCCACUCCUAGAGGACAAAGGGAAGAUGUGCAGAGAUGGAUACUGAGUGUCCUGACAUGACAGGAAGCUGUGGCAGAUGAAGGGUAGUGGUACACUCACACCAGAGGCAGGAAAGGCAUGAUAGGCUGGGACGGCAGGGGAAUGCUGCCUUAUAUAUGAAAGGGAGCACAAGGUCAAUUGGGUUAGCAAAUUGAGGUUGUCAGCAGCUUGGAUAAAAUCUCUCUGAAUUGACGUGCCAGUCCCCACUCAGUGUUCUCAUGUUCAGCUUGAGGUUGUCCGCUGCUGGACCACGAUGGCAGCAGACACUGUAAGGAAUCAGAGGGGUUCUGAGGACAGAGGGAAGAGCUGUUAAUUUGCCCAUGUUGACAGCAUCUUUGGUAGCUUUGUGGAGGCAGAGAGCCUGCUAAGGGAAAAAUACAAACAUGGGGAAACUUUCAUUAAAGAGCAGAGUUGUCUGCAAACUCCUUCCUUUCACAAUGUUGCAUCUUAAGUGAGAACUAAGGAAUUAGGCAAUUUCCAUGAACCUUUGUGCUCAGAGUGGCUUGGGACCAACUCUUAAACAAAUUUCAAAUCACUAUUUGCCUAUUAAUUUCCUCUGCUGGGCUCAGACUGGACUCAGGGAAAAGGCACUUGUACUUCAUGGGCACCAGCUAGUAAAUUUACCUGCACAGAAAGGUAAGGUACUUCACCUUCAAAAUGGGUCCUUAAGCACAUGCCUGACUUUGUUUUGGGUGGUUCUUCUGCACAGCCUCUGUCUGGUCCCUGAACAAAUGCGCAGCUGCAUCUCAAGUUGCAAACACCAACUCUUGUGAAUGCUUAACAAGCUGUGCUCAGGGUAAUAUUCUCUGCAUCACUCUUUUCAGUAAAACUGAAACAAACUGCAAGGCAAGAUGAUGGCUGUGCUGGAGACAUUGCAGGGCAGCUAAAUAGUAACUUGGACUUAUUUUCCUAUCCAAUAAUAUAAAAAUGGGACUGAGAGGGCUCUGAACCUCUUCCCUCCUCUAGCAACCUGGAAGGGUUCAAGCCUGUAAUGCCAGAAUCCCCAGAGGAUGCUGUGGCCCCAGGGCAGGAGCAGCGGGGAGGCUGCUCCCCAUCACCCCAUGAAGCCGAGCUGCCAUGCAGAAAGCAAUGCAAGAUUUAUGAAGCUGUGGGGAGAAAGAGCAAGGGACUCUUCAUGUAUUUUUCAUGGGCUGAGCUGCAUAAAUAGCAUGCAAUGCAUAAACUGUGACUGGAUACUUACACAAAAAAAAAAAAA
ensembl:lncRNA